GCGGAAGUGGCUCAGCUGGUAGAGCAUCACCUUGCCAAGGUGAGGGUUACGGGUUCAAAUCCCGUCUUCCGCUCCA
rnacentral:tRNA from 1 species